UACGUAGGUGGCAAGCGUUGUUCGGAUUCACUGGGCGUAAAGGGUGCGUAGGCGGUCGGGUAAGUCUGACGUGAAAUCUUCAAGCUCAACUUGGAAACUGCGUCCGAUACUAUUCGGCUAGAGGAAUGGAGGGGAGACUGGAAUACUUGGUGUAGCAGUGAAAUGCGUAGAUAUCAAGUGGAACACCAGUGGCGAAGGCGAGUCUCUGGACAUUUCCUGACGCUGAGGCACGAAAGCCAGGGGAGCAAACGGG
rnacentral:rRNA from 1 species